rnacentral:rRNA from 1 species
GAUGAACGCUGGCGGCGUGCCUAAUACAUGCAAGUCGAGCGAACAGACGAGGAGCUUGCUCCUCUGACGUUAGCGGCGGACGGGUGAGUAACACGUGGAUAACCUACCUAUAAGACUGGGAUAACUUCGGGAAACCGGAGCUAAUACCGGAUAAUAUAUUGAACCGCAUGGUUCAAUAGUGAAAGACGGCUUUGCUGUCACUUAUAGAUGGAUCCGCGCCGCAUUAGCUAGUUGGUAAGGUAACGGCUUACCACGGCGACGAUGCGUAGCCGACCUGAGAGGGUGAUCGGCCACACUGGAGCUGGGCCAGGGUCCAGACUCCUACGGGAGGCAGCAGUAGGGAAUCUUCCGCAAUGGGCGAAAGCCUGACGGAGCAACGCCGCGUGAGUGAUGAAGGUCUUCGGAUCGUAAAACUCUGUUAUUAGGGAAGAACAAAUGUGUAAGUAACUAUGCACGUCUUGACGGUACCUAAUCAGAAAGCCACGGCUAACUACGUG